rnacentral:rRNA from 1 species
GACGAACGCUGGCGGCGUGCUUAACACAUGCAAGUCGAACGGAAAGGCCCUGCUUUUGUGGGGUGCUCGAGUGGCUAACGGGGGAGUAGCACGUGAGUAACCUGCCCUUGACUUUGGGAUAACUUCAGGAAACUGGGGAUAAUACCGGAUAGGAGCGCCUGCUGCGUGGUGGGGGGUGGAAAGUUUCGGCGGUUGGGGAUGGACUCGCGGCUUAUCAGGUUGUUGGUGGGGUAGUUGCUUACCAAGGCGUUGACGGGUAGCCGGCCUGAGAGGGUGACCGGCCACAUUGGGACUGAGCUACGGCCCAGACUCCUACGGGAGGCAGCAGCGGGGAAUAUUGCACAAUGGGCGGAAGCCUGAUGCAGCAACGCCGCGUGCGGGAUGACGGCCUUCGGGUUGUAACCCGCUUUCGCCUGUGACGAAGCGUGAGUGACGGUAAUGGUUAAAGAAGCACCGGCUAACUACGUG